CCGGGGAGUAGGGGAGGAGAGGGGUAGGCCAGAGUGGGUCAGAAGCACACGUUUGAACAGGCAGUUCCAUGUGCACAAAUGGGUGAUAAUUGGAAAAGGAAGAAACGCUCAUCCACAGCAAAAACACUACACAUUUAGUGGAAACACAGAGAAAGACGAUCCACCAUAUCUACACCCACAUGGUUAAAACCCAACCUUUAGCACUCUCUCACUGUUCUCUCUGAUCUUUAAGCAUACCCGAUUCAGAGAGAGCCAAGAGAUGGAGAAGAGCAGCGAUGGGUUUGUGAGGGCCGAUCAGAUUGAUCUGAAGAGCUUGGACGAGCACCUCAACAGGGCUUGGAUCAUGGAGAAGAACAAGAAGGAGGAGGAUGGCACUUUUAACCAUACUCUUAGCAAUAGUAUUCAUAUUGACGUCAGGACCACCUCCAGGACUGUGAAGAAGGAGAGGCAGGAGUGGGAGAUCGAUCCCUCCAAGCUCGUCAUCAAGGCCGUCAUUGCCCGUGGCACCUUCGGCACCGUUCACCGUGGCAUCUACGACGGCCAGGAUGUCGCCGAGAAUUUGAAUGUUGCAAUGGAUGCCGAUAUAGAAUUUUCAAAUAAUGAGUGUGAUGAGGUAGAAAUUGAUAAGGAGAUUGGAGGUGAUGAAACAAUUGGAAUGCAAUUUUUAUCUGUAGAAGAAGUGCAUGCUUAUUAUAUGAAGUAUGGUAAGAAGAAAGGGUUUGGGGUAUCCAAAAGGAAUAUUAGACAGGAUGACGAUGGGACAGUAAGAUGGUUUUGCUUGGUAUGCGCGCGAGGAGGCACAUCGAAGAAUACGGUUGCCAAUGUUAUGAAACCAAGACAAACUGUAAAGAUGGGAUGUAAGGCUAGAAUUAAUGCGGUAUUAAAUGUUGAAUGUGGAUAUACUAUAUCUAAGGUGAUAUUGGAUCACACCCACGCCUGUAGUCCGGGGAAGGCAAGACAUUUCAGAUGUUUUAAGAAGGUUGAUGCUCGUAUUGCUAAGAGGCUUGAAAUAAAUGACGAGGCAGGUAUAAGGUUGUCCAAAAAUUUUGAGUCUUUGGUUGUUGAGGCGGGGGGUUAUGAGAAUGUAACAUUCGGGGAGAAGGAGGAUCGAAACUACAUUGACAAAGCACGACGACUUCGCCUCGGGGUUGGAGGUGGUGUAGCUCUAUGUAACUAUUUCGAAGAUAUGCAAAAAAGAAAUCCGGAGUUUUAUUAUAAGAUUGACAUUGACAAUGAGAUGCGGUUAAAGAAUGUGUUUUGGACAGACGCCAGGAGUAGAGCUGUGUAUGAAUCAUUCGGGGAUGUGAUUACAUUUGAUACAACAUAUCUAACUAAUGCGUAUAAAAUGCCUUUUGCACCGUUUGUGGGUGUGAACCACCAUGGACAGUCAAUCCAACUCGGUUGCAGAUUGAUAUCCAAUGAGGACGUAGAUACAUUUGACUGGUUGUUUCAGUCAUGGUUGUAGUGUAUGAAUAACCAACCACCAAAUGCAAUCAUCACAGACCAAGACAAGGCCAUGAAAAUUGCAAUAUUGAGAGUGUUUCCAACUUCUAGACAUCGAUUCUGCUUGUGGCAUAUAAUGAAAAAACUUCCUGAGAAAUUUGGCUCACAUUGUCGAUACAGGGAAAUCAAGAGUACCAUACAUAGAUGCGUAUAUGACUCUUUCAGUCAGCAUGAGUUUGAUGAACAUUGGUGCCGUAUGCUCGAUACAUAUGAUUUGCAUGAGAAUGCAUGGUUAGUAUUACUGUAUAGUGAUCGACAUUAUUGGGUGCCGGCCUAUGUUAGAGACAUCUUCUGGGCAGGAAUGUCAACCACAUAGCGAAGUGAAGGAAUGAAUGCAUUUUUUGACGACUACGUUCACUCUAGAACUACUCUGAAGCAAUUUGUUGACCAGUAUGAUUCGGCCCUUAGGAGGAAGGUAGAGAAUGAAGCAAUUGCUAACUUCAAUUCCUUUAACACGGACAUUCCGUGCAUAAGUCGUUAUCCUCUUGAGAAGCAAUUUCAAAGUGCAUAUACUCUUGCUAAAUUCAAGGAAAUACAAGAGGAAUUGCGAGGAUUUCUAUAUUUGACUACUAAGGAGAUGGGGUGUGAGGAUGGUAGAUAUAUGUUCGUUGUUGUGGAUGAGGUUCAAAUUGGUAAUGACUUAUUAAAACGUGUAACCUUUAAUGUGGAAGUUGAUCAAGAUCCCCUUGAUGUGAAAUACAGUUGUAAAUUAUUUGAGUUUAGGGGUAUUUUGUGUAGACACGCUCUCCAUGUCUUAACUCAAAUGGGCCAACAUACAGUACCAUCAAAAUACAUCUUAGAUCGGUGGAGGAAAGAUAUUAAGCGAAAACACACCUUCGUGAAAAGUAGUUAUGACACUACUAGCAUCGACGAUGCACGAAGGUACGAUAGGAUCCAAGAUUGUUUCUAUGAACUGUAAUGCUUCAAAGGCUGAGAGCAGUUGUGUUAAAUUGAUUAGUCAGAUAGAACAGUUGAAGACACAGUACUCUGGUAUCGCUGAUCAUGAUACUAGCAACACAGUUGAUACAGCUCCUUCGACGGAGGCUUCAACCCCUAGAGUUCUUAGUCAUUUGGUAGUUCGGAGUAAAGGAAGACUACCGUCUAAGAGAAAAGUGCACCCCUCUGAGAAGCGUAUUAAGAAAUCCAGUACGAAAAGGCGAUUGCACAAUAACCAAGUUGAGGAUCAACAAAGUCAAGUUUGGACACAUGCGCCGGACUUUUUUUCAACUCCUUCGACUGCUCAUCACUCAUAGGACAACAUUACAGAGGCUUUCCAUUAGGACUUCAGUGCUUUUUGAUUGAUAGAUACCAUGAGACAAAUUUGUACUUGGGAUAUUAUUGGACCUGUUUUUGUAUUGACGUGUUUAGAUCAUUAAUUGUAAUUUUGGGAUUGUAUUAAACCUGUUUUUGUA